rnacentral:misc_RNA from 1 species
UGGAGGCAGCCGGCCACGGUAGGGUCAGCGACUGGGGUGAAGUCGUAACAAGGUAGCCGUAGGGGAACCUGCGGCUGGAUCACCUCCUUUCUAAGGAUGGUUCUUCAGAAGCUUGCUUCUAUCGAACCGUUUUAGAAACAUCAGUGGCCAACGAUCGUCAGGAUUGUUGAGCUGCAUUGGCGGGAUUUCGCCGUCUUCGUUUCUCUUUCUUCGCGGACGAACACGCGCUGGGGCUGCAACCUUGCAGAAUCCCUGGUCCUUGACUGGAUAUGCGUUAGGGGCUUGUAGCUCAGUUGGUUAGAGCGCGCGCUUGAUAAGCGUGAGGUCGGAAGUUCAAGUCUUCCCAGGCCCACCACACUCAUCGAGUGAGCAUUCGUCUUCUGGUUACGGGGCCAUAGCUCAGCUGGGAGAGCGCGUGCUUUGCAAGCAUGAGGUCGUCGGUUCGAUCCCGUCUGGCUCCACCAGAUGGUUUGAUCAUCGACUGAUCGUGCACCUAAAUCGUCCGCGAAACAUCACUUCGCACUUACUAGUCCGGAUGGACAGUAAGCUGCGUGAUUUCUGACAUCGUAAAGAGGAGAUCGAUCCGAGUUGGAUCGGGCAACAAGCAAUUGUUGCGCGAUACUUCAUUAUCUCCGGAUCAUUUCGGCGCUCGUGCGCCUUUCAAUGUAGCUCACAAGGCUGCGUCUGGAAGGAAUGCGAGUUGUAAAUGAUCCUUUUAGCGAAGCUUGACCGCCUCGCUAUCGGAACGAUCUUACGAAGCAAGCUGGUCUUUCUAAUCAUUGUCCGGCUGCAGAUAGCGUUCAUCGAGGGCGCGUGCCGCAAGGUAAUUCUGCAGACAACAUUCUGCCGAGUGUGUGGACAUUGAUAAUGAGAGCAAUCAAGUGCCUUAAGGGUGUUCGGUGGAUGCCUUGGCGCUGAGAGGCGAUGAAGGACGUGCUACGCUGCGAUAAGCCGU